GAUGAACGCUGGCGGCGUGCCUAAUACAUGCAAGUCGAGCGAACGGACGAGAAGUUUGCUUCUCUGAUGUUAGGGGCGGACGGGUGAGUCACACGUGUAUACCCUACCUAUAAGACUGGGAUCACUUCGGGAAACCGUAUCUAAUACCGGAUAAUAUUUUGAACCACAUGGUUCAAAAGUGAAAUUCGGUCUUGCUGUCACUUAUAGCUGGAUCCGCGCUGCGUUGGCUAGUUGGUAAGGUAACGGCUUUCCAAGGCAACGAUGCAUAGCCGACCUGACAGGGGGAUGGGCCACACAGGAACUGAGACACGAGCCAGACUCUGACGGAAGGCAGAGGUAGGGAAGGUGGCGCAAUGGGGGAAAGCCUGACGAAGCAACGCAGCUUGGGUGAUGAAGGUCUGCGGAUCGUAAGACUCUGUUAUUGGGGAAAAACAUAUGUGUAAGUAACGGUGCACAUCUGAACGGAACCUAAGCAGAAAGCCACGCCAAACUACUU
rnacentral:rRNA from 1 species